rnacentral:lncRNA from 1 species
AAACUUAAUUAUAAAAAUUCAAAUUUUAUAAAUUUUUAUAUAUAAACUUUUUAUAUAGUAUAGAUUGUACCUAGUAAAAUAGAUUUUAUAAUUUUAUUGUUGGGAACCGGAUGGAUCGUCCGUCAUGUGUUACCAACAAAGAUAUACGAAAAAUAGAGAAAAUACUAAACGAACGGUAAAAGAAAUAAAUGCAGAAAAAAGAAAUCAAGAUUUACGUGGUUCGGCAAUUGCCUACGUCCACAGGGAGAGCGAGAGAGAUGUAUUUCACUAUAUGAAGAAAUAGAAGUACAAGCUUACACUUUAUGUCUUCUCCGGUUAAAAAACCAAGAGCCUUAUGGUAAAUCCCACCUUUCUUGUUCCAACGAAAACUCCAAGCAAAUACCGAAAAAGCUUUUCGUAAAACCGAGAAGACCAAAUUAGAGAAGUAUAGAAACUCUAACCAAAUUUCUUUAUGCCGUUGCUUCGAAGAAUACGAACCGCUCAGGCAAUUGGUCGAGAACCGCCGCUCCGCCGCCAGCGUCAAUCCGUUGUUGCAUGCGAGCAACCUUCCUUCUCUUGCUACCGUACGACGAGGCACCUUAAUUAAUUAGCUAUUCACCAGAUGCUAAUUAAUUUUCCUUUAUACCCCCUCAAGCCGUACAUGCCCAUGGCCACCUUUAAUUAUACGGCUAAUUAAUUUUGGCCUCUACACGCGGCUCCAAGCUAUACAUGCAUAUGCAUGUAUAUGUAGAGGGAUUUGGCUCAAUCCUACUCUAAUUCAAUAUGAUUAUUGAAUAUAGAGUAUUAUAUGGAAACCAAUCCUAGUCCACCUAGGAUUCCAAUUUAAAUUAGGAUCCAUCAAAAUAAAUCCUUAUGAGAUCCUUUUUAUUUUUCCAUAAACCAAUAAAAAAGAAGGCAUAUUUUUAACAUUCUCCACCUUGACUUCUUUUUUUUUUUACUUCAUUACUCUCUCUCAUCUUAUCGCCCCCUCUCCCUGAGGCAUCCAGUCAUUAGCAGUCAUGCAAAUUAGCCAAGUUUAGACAGUGUCUAAACUUAUCCGCUGUUACCGGCUUUGUCAUGAUGUCAGCUACAUUAUCCUUCGUGGAAACCUUUAUAAGCUGAAUUUCUCCAUCAUCCUCAUUAGUGAGCUCCGGUAAUUUGUGAUACUUAAUUUCUAUGUGCUUUAUCCUCCCAUGGUAAACUGGAUUCCUGGCGAGACAUAUAGCACUCUGACUAUCACAACCGAUAAUCAUUUUUUCCUGCAUGAUCCCGAGUUCACCAACCAAGCCUCUAAGCCAGACUGCUUCCUUAGCUGCUUCAAUUGCCGCCAUAUACUCCGCUUCUGUAGUUGACAAUGCUACAGUGCGCUGCAACGUAGAUUUCCAACUGACAGGUCCGCCGCCCAGCAGAAAGACGUAACCUGUAAUAGACCUACGCUUGUCCAAAUCACCCGCAUAGUCGGAAUCUACAAACCCCUUCACUUCAUCAUUACCAGAAUCUUUCGAGUAGAGAAUACCUUUAUCUGAUGUGCCCUUCAGAUACCGCAAAAUCCACUUCACGGCCUCCCAGUGUUGUUUCCCUGGAUUCGACAUAUACCGACUGACAACACUAACUGCAUGUGAAAGAUCAGGCCUAGUGCAGAUCAUAGCAUACAUCAGGCAACCGACUGCACUAGCAUAUGGUAUCUUUGACAUAGAAGUAAUCUCCUCAUCCGUCUUGGGACACAUCUCCUCAGAAAGUUUGAAGUGUUGGGCUAAUGGAGUCUUGACCGCCUUCGCCUCUGACAUAUUAAAUUGCUUUAUAAUAGCUCGUAUAUAUGUCUUCUGCGAUAACCAUAACUUACCCUGUAUGCGGUCGCGUCUGAUCUCCAUACCUAGGAUUUUCCUAGCACCUCCUAGGUCCUUCAUGUCAAAUUCUCGGCUCAACUGAUCCUUUAAUUGUUGCACUUCAUUCGGAUUCUUAGCUGCUAUAAGCAUAUCGUCUACAUAUAGCAUAAGCAGAAUAAACGAACCAUCUUCAAGCCUCCGAUAGUAGACACAACUGUCAUAUAAACUUCUGCUAUAACCAUGCUCGAUCAUAAACCCGUCAAACCGCUUAUACCACUGCCUCGGUGCCUGCUUCAACCCGUAGAGAGAUCUUUUCAGUUUGCACACCAGAUUCUCCUUCCCCGGCUGAACAAAACCUUGAGGUUGUUCCAUAUAAAUUUCUUCUACUAGAUCCCCAUGAAGAAAUGCGGUUCGAACGUCAAGCUGCUGAAGCUCUAAAUCAAACAUAGCCACCAUAGCUAGAAGCAUCCUAAUUGACGCGUGUUUCACCACCGGUGAGAAAAUCUCAUUGAAAUCAACUCCCUUUACUUGCGCAUAGCCCUUGGCUACUAACCGCGCCUUGAAUUUUUCUGGUUCUCCAUCUGCACCCUGCUUCUUUUUGUAGAUCCACUUGCAACCGAUAGAUCUCUUCCCUUCCGGUAAUGGAAUCAGAUCCCAUGUCUGAUUCUUCUGUAGAGACUCCAUCUCUUCUGUCAUAGCCGCCAUCCAUCUGCCACUAUCUCUGUCCUGCAUCGCCUCCUGAUAGGAAGUGGGAUCAUCUGAUGUAAUUAAUAAGGCAUAAGAUACUAUAUCCUCCAACCUGUACCGUAAAGGUGGACGAAUCUGUCUCCUUUCCCUUCCUUUAGCGAUAGAGUAGGGCUCCUCCGAAGUGCUUUCAAUCGGAUCGCUUUGUGUACCAUGAUCAUCCUGAUAGUGGGGCUGCUCCACCUGAUCAUCUACACCCUCUUGCCGCUCCACCUGGAUCUGCGUAGUUUUUGACUGUUCUUCACGUUGAGCCUCCUGAUGAUCCUUACGCGGCAUAGCUUUUUCGUCAAAAACUACGUCCCUGCUAAUCACCUUCUUCUUGGCGAUAGGGUCCCACAGCUUGUAUCCUUUAACACCCAUAUCGUACCCAAGAAAUAUGCAGGGCUUUGACUUCGAAUCUAAUUUUGUGCGCUGAUUUUCCUGGAUAUGGACAUAAGCAGGACAACCAAAGACCCGUAAGGAGGAAUAAUCUGCAAGUUUACCUGUCCAUACUUCCUCCGGUGUUUUGAGUUCGAUUGCUGUGGCGGGAGAUCGAUUAAUAAUAUAGCACGCCAUAUCUACUGCUUCAGCCCAGAACUCCUUUGGCAAAUCUGCACAUAACCUCAUGGAUCUGGCACGUUCUAGCAAUGUCCGGUUCAUCCUUUCUGCUACCCCAUUCUGCUGUGCAGUACCUGGAACCGUGUAAUGACGUACAAUACCUUCAUCCUUGCAGAAUUUCUUAAACUCCCGAGAAGUGAACUCUCCACCAUUGUCCGUUCGAAGAACCUUGACCUGCUUCCCAGUUUGUUUCUCCACCUCAUUCUUCCAAUGUCUGAACUUUAUAAAUGCCUCAGACUUUUCCUUCAUGAAGAAUACCCAAACCUUACGGGAGAAAUCAUCGAUAAAUGUAAUAAAAUAUCGCGCACCACCUUUCGAAGUCACCGGAGCCGGUCCCCACACGUCCGCAUGGAUAUACUCAAGUAUACUUUUACUUUUAUGACUGGAGGUCCUGAAACUCAACCUUUUCUGUUUUCCAAAUAAACAAAAUUUGCAGAAAUUAAGUUUACAGGAUUUAAUACCUUUGAGUACUCCCCUUUUAUGCAGUUCCAACAUCCCUCUUUCACUCAUGUGGGCUAGUCUCAUGUGCCAGAGCUCCGUAUCAUCAGCAUCAUGAUCUUCUGAGGAUGUUACCGCAACGCCUCCAAUCACCGACUCGCCGAUCAGCCUGUACAGAUUCCCUUUCUUCUCUCCCUUCAUGACGACCAUGGCACCCUUUUUAACCUUGACGACUCCACCUGAAAUGCUAAUAGAACAGCCGGUAGAGUCAAGAGUACCAAGUGAUAUGAGAUUCAACCUGAGAUCCGGAAUGUGUCUCACAUCCGUUAACGUCCUCACCACACCAUCAAACAUCUUUAUUUUUACUGUUCCGAUACCGACCAUCUUGCAGCUAGUGCGAUUACCCAUCAUAACACUACUGCCUUCACAAGACUUAUAAGUAUCAAAUAAAGACCUGUCUGGAGACAUAUGGUAAGAACAACCAGAAUCUAAUAUCCAGUCAUCGUGAGAGUCAGAAUCUGUUGUAACCGUCAAGACGUCCUGACCGGAAUCACUGGCUACGCUCACCGUAUCUGUAGAGGAAUUUUGAUUUCGCAGCCAAGCCUUCCUCUUUUCGCAGUUCUUUUUUAUGUGACCCUCUUUCUUACAGAAGUAACACUUCACCUUUUUCGAUUUUGACUUGGAACGAAAUUUUCCUUUACCUGCAUCACGUUCGCUUGAUCGUCCCCUUCUUCCACUUGUAUCAUUUACGACCAAACCGGCACUGUUUUCUUUGGUACUAGCCUGCAACCUGAUCUCUUCAGACAAAAGUGUCGAUGUAACAUCUUCCAUCUUUAGAGUUUGCUUCCCGUACAAUAUGGUGGUCACCAAGUGAUUGUAGGACGACGGAAGUGAUGUAAGAAAAAUCAACGCCUUAUCAUCCUCAUCAACCUUGACAUUAAUGCUGAGCAAAUCUGUAAUAAUUUUAUUAAAGGUGUUCAAUUGUUCCGUUAUUGCCGUACCUUCCUUCAUGCGUAGCUCAUAUAAUUUUUGCUUUAGGUACAACACGUUCAAGAGGCUUUUUGUCAUGUACAGCUUCUCUAGCUUGUUCCACCUGCCGACUGUAGUUUCUUCAUCCAUGACGUUAUACAUCACCUCAUCUGCUAGGCACAAUAUAAUUGUAUUCACGGCUCGCAGAUCAAUAUCCUCCCAAUCUUCGUCGCUCAUCGAUGUCGGCUUUUUCGAUUUUCCGAGUAAUGCCUUAUGAAGGCCCUGUUGAAGCAGAAGGGCUUUCACUCUUCUCUGCCAAAGACCGAAGUUUCCUUUACCGUCAAAUUUCUCCACCUCAAACUUAGAAGACGAGACUUUCGACAUCUCUGAUGUAGCACGAACCUUACGCUCUGAUACCACUUGUUGGGAACCGGAUGGAUCGUCCGUCAUGUGCUACCAACAAAGAUGCACGAAAAAUAGAGAAAAUAACAAACGAACGGUAAAAGAAAUAAAUGCAGAAAGAAGAAACCAAGAUUUAUGUGGUUCGGCAAUUGCCUACGUCUACAGGGAGAGCGAGAGAGAUGUAUUUCACUAUAUGAAGAAAUAGAAGUACAAACUUACACCUUAUGUCUUCUCCGGAUAAAAAACCAAGAGCCUUAUGGUGAAUCCCACCUUUCUUGUUCCAACGAAAACUCCAAGCAAAUACCGAAAAAGCUUUUUGUAAAACCGAGAAGACCAAAUUAGAGAAGUAUAGAAACUCUAACCAAAUUUCUUUAUGCCGUUGCUUCGAAGAAUCCGAACCGCUCAGGCAAUUGGUCGAGAACCGCCGCUCCGCCGCCAACGUCAAUCCGUCGUUGCAUGCGAGCAACCUUCCUUCUCUUGCUACCGUACGACGAGGCACCUUAAUUAAUUAGCUAUUCACCGGAUGCUAAUUAAUUUUCCUUUAUACCCCUCUCAAGCCGUACAUGCCCAGGGCCACCUUUAAUUAUAUGGCUAAUUAAUUUU